UGUCGCAUUAUUCGCGGGAGAGUAAGUUGUUGCCAGGGUUUUUGUUUUAUACUUUAAACAUUGAUUUUAUUUUUUAUGUUUUUAGAUGUUCAUGUUUUUGAAUGUUUUAUUCAAAUAAUAUAAAAAAUAAAAUAUAUAUUGACAUGGAUUAAACAAAGAUAUAUAUUAUUCUAUGUUGUAUAAACAAAUUGGCAAAAUAGAGAUGGAAGAUAAAAAUAUGGUCAAAGUAAUAAGAGUCUAUGGUGAAUGCCUAGGAA
rnacentral:misc_RNA from 1 species